rnacentral:rRNA from 1 species
UACAGAGGGGGCAAGCGUUGUCCGGAAUCAUUGGGCGUAAAGCGCGUGUAGGCGGUUCGGUAAGUCGGCUGUGAAAGUCCAGGGCUCAACCCUGGGAUGCCGGUCGAUACUGCCGGACUAGAGUUCGGAAGAGGCGAGUGGAAUUCCCGGUGUAGCGGUGAAAUGCGCAGAUAUCGGGAGGAACACCAAUGGCGAAGGCAGCUCGCUGGGACGUUACUGACGCUGAGACGCGAAAGCGUGGGGAGCAAACAGG